rnacentral:rRNA from 1 species
AUUGAACGCUGGCGGCAUGCCUUACACAUGCAAGUCGAACGGCAGCACGGGAGCUUGCUCCUGGUGGCGAGUGGCGAACGGGUGAGUAAUACAUCGGAACGUACCCAGUAGUGGGGGAUAACGCACCGAAAGGUGCGCUAAUACCGCAUACGACCUAAGGGUGGAAGCGGGGGACCGUAAGGCCUCGCGCUAUUGGCGCGGCCGAUGUCUGAGUAGCUAGUUGGCGGGGUAAUAGCCCACCAAGGCGACGAUCAGUAGCUGGUCUGAGAGGACGAUCAGCCACACUGGGACUGAGACACGGCCCAGACUCCUACGGGAGGCAGCAGUGGGGAAUUUUGGACAAUGGGGGCAACCCUGAUCCAGCAAUGCCGCGUGUGCGGAGAAGGCCUUCGGGUUGUAAAGCACUUUUGUCAGGGAAGAAAUCUUUCAGGCUAAUACCCUUGGAAGGAUGACGGUACCUGAAGAAUAAGCACCGGCUAACUACGUGCCAGCCGCCGCUGUAA